rnacentral:rRNA from 1 species
AUGCCCACUCCUAAGUGGCAGCGACCGGAGGCAGGUUGGACUAAGGUUAAUACAGAUGGAGCCAUCGACUCCGAACGGGGCAGGGGUGGCGCUGGGAUCAUUGCCAGAGAUGAUCAAGGGAUUUUCAUUCAAGCAACAUGUAUACAAUACGGUGGAGCCACUGACCCCCUAGCGAUUGAGCUGCUGGCAUGCCAGGAUGCAAUGAUCCUAGCACGGGAUAUGGGAUGGCAAAGAGUGCUACUAGAAACAGACUGUCAAGAGAUUCAAAGGUUGUGGAGGUCAACCCAGAAUUCUAUUGGCUAUCAUAUUUUACGGGAGAUGGAGGAAGUAGUCUUCUCCAGGGUUUCGAGCUCCGGUUCUCUAGCUGUCAGUCAAAUGAGGCGUCCCACCGGUUAG